rnacentral:rRNA from 1 species
CGCAGUAAACGAUGAUUACUGGCUGUUUGCGAUACAAUGUAAGCGGCUGAGCGAAAGCGUUAAGUAAUCCACCUGGGGAGUACGUUCGCAAGAAUGAAACUCAAAGGAAUUGACGGGGGCCCGCACAAGCGGAGGAACAUGUGGUUUAAUUCGAUGAUACGCGAGGAACCUUACCCGGGCUUGAAAUGCAUCUGACGUAGGCAGAGACGUCUAUUCCCUUCGGGGCAGAUGUGUAGGUGCUGCAUGGUUGUCGUCAGCUCGUGCCGUGAGGUGUCGGCUUAAGUGCCAUAACGAGCGCAACCCUCAUCAUUAGUUACCAACAGGUCAAGCUGGGGACUCUAGUGAGACUGCCAUCGUAAGAUGUGAGGAAGGUGGGGAUGACGUCAAAUCAGCACGGCCCUUACGUCCAGGGCGACACACGUGUUACAAUGGGUGGUACAAAGGGCAGCUACCUGGCGACAGGAUGCUAAUCUCGAAAACCACUCUCAGUUCGGAUCGGAGUCUGCAACUCGACUCCGUGAAGCUGGAUU